rnacentral:rRNA from 1 species
AUACGGAGGGUGCAAGCGUUACUCGGAAUCACUGGGCGUAAAGGACGCGUAGGCGGGAUGCCAAGUCUGAUGUGAAAUCCUAUGGCUCAACCAUAGAACUGCAUUGGAAACUGGUAACCUAGAGUAUGGGAGGGGGAGAUGGAAUUAGUGGUGUAGGGGUAAAAUCCGUAGAUAUCACUAGGAAUACCGAAAGCGAAGGCGAUCUCCUGGAACAUAACUGACGCUAAGGCGUGAAAGCGUGGGGAGCAAACGGGAUUAGAUACCCUAGUAGUCC